GAAAUGCGAUAAAUAAUGUGAAUUGCAGAAUUCAGUGAAUCAUCGAGUCUUUGAACGCACAUUGCGCCCCCCGGUAUUCCGGGGGGCACGCCUGUCCGAGCGUCAUUACAGCCCAUCGAGCCCGCUCGGUCUUGGGUGUCGCCCCUUCAGUCUGGUGGCGCGCCCCAAAAACGUUGGCGAAGCGGGAGCGUCGAGCGUGACGGACUCACCGGCCUCGGCGCCUCCGCCCGCCUCACCACCCCAAAGUUGACCUCGGAUCAGGCGGGGAUACCCGCUGAACUUAA
rnacentral:misc_RNA from 1 species